CCUGAUCUUGAUCGUACACAUUUGCGUGCAUGAUUAGUGUACGGUCAAAUCGGGGGCGUCACAUGCAAUUAGGGCAGGAUCGGAAGGCGUCAGGGAGUGUUGCACUGGACAAAGUUCCUCCGUAUGCUUUCUCCGUGCGUAAAUCAGCCAAUGCGGUGACAACGUGUCUCGACACCGGCCAAACCUUCUGAGUUGCCUCUCCUAAAUCAUCAAGGUUCGUAAAUAUUAAUUACUUGAUUCACUUACUCAUGAUAAAAUCUAUGAGAUAUUAUCAAUUGACAAACAAUUUUCGAAUGCUUUUGUAGCCAAAAGACCAUGGCGUAUAAGAAUCGGAGUGCCUUAACCGAUGAGCAUAUGAGCUUCGAUGGAUCAAAAAAAAUUAUAUAUUUACAUGCAGAUUGUUCCGUUGUUUUGAACAAGAACUAAUAUAUUGUAACUAUUUGACAGGGCCAAACAAUGCAUGUUACUGUGAGAAUUAAAACUCAUGAUACUAUAAAUGUGGAGUUUGAUACACAAUUAUUGAUCAAAUAAGAAUGAGAAACCUGUUUAUGCAUUAUCAUAUUAAAAUUGUGGAAGCCAGAAAGUAUCACCUGUCGACCAAUGAAAUACAGAGGUAAGGAUCAUCGGAAAAUUUUCCUGAUUAGUAAUUCCAGUUUGCUUCCAAGGACACACUACAAGAACAUGCAGGGAAAGAUAAACAAUGCUCAGGUAUACUUAUACUUUAUAGUUCUAAAUAAGACUCAACUAAUUAAUCUUUCUCGCUAUGAAGUAUCUAAUCGCCAAUUAUACAGAUGUCAUUACUCACCCAAAUGAAGCAUGUGGAAUCAAGAUUAAUGGAGUAAGUGCAUAAUGCAUAACCACAUACUUUAAUUGGACUUCCAUCAUUGCAUUAUCAUUAAAUUUUCCAGCUUAAACUUUUCAUGAGUGAUAAAAUCAGAAUUACGCUAUAGGGAAAUUCUACUUUAUAUUUUCAAUGAGGAUGUAAUCGACAUCGAAACUAUCCUUAUUGUGACAUCAACAACCGUGCAGAAGUUUUAAUAGUACGUCCAAUAAAGUCACAACAUCUUCUGUCAUUUACAAACAAAUAACAGAUUUCCAUGAUUAAAGAGGAUUGUGCCUAAAAUCAACCACUGUCGCAAAUGUAUACAUAUCUAGAUACACCCGCAACUCAGGAACCUCUUGAAAGGUAUGGAACACUAUCUUGUAUUAUUUAUCAACUAAUGAAUCAUGACUCAUGUUUAUUAACCAAUGUAAAAUAAUAAUUAUACUUGACUAACUCCAUAUAUGCAGACACUCACCAGAAGAAACUUCACCAAAAAUGAUCGAGAUAGAUAGAAGUACACAAGGUACACUAGAAGAACAAGUGUCUUACAGAACUUAUUGGAAUGACGCAUGGAAACUAAGCAAAUCAGGCAGUCAUAAAACUUCUUCUAAGAUAUGACAUCACCACUUUUCAAGAAAAACAAGACUCUAAGACCUGCAGGGACAGUGAGCUAUAUCAGUUAUAAGCUUAUAAUGGAGCCAUAUUCGACUUAUUAAUGUAUGUCAACUUCUUCAGAUUGAUAUUUUUGAUUUUGUGGGUAAUUUAUUUAAAUUUUGCAUUCAUGGCAAUAGCUACAAUAGAUCUGUUGCAAGAAAAUAUUUGAUGUUGGUAUAUGUCAUGUGAUGAUUGUUUUCUGCAGCAAUAACAAUGCUAUGGUAGGCAUAGUAUUCGACUCCAAAUUAGUGGAUGUACAACUACUACAAGCUGCAGUUCCUUUAACGAGGGGUGGCAAAAAGUUGCUUAAUACAUUUGUCUUGAACUUGAUGAACUCAUUGGAUGGAAAAUCUGAAGAAGUGCAGAAGAUUAUACGAUAAUUAUGCUGAAAACAAGAGAAACUAUUUGUAUUAACUGAUAUAGAGUAAGAAUACUUGACAAUCCAUUAAUAUAAGGAGGACUUAUUAGGUAACAACGGUUUAUUUAUUUAUUUUCGAACGCGGAGGUGAAAGGCCUCAGUCGAUAAAUUAAGCAGAAGAGAAUUACCCAGUUAAUUAGCGGAAAACUGGGCGAAUACCAUGAUAACAACGGUAUAACAUUACCACUAUCAGAAGCAUGCCAUAUUGUAAUUAUUUAAAUACAUUCAGACAUGCACUUUUGUGAGUUUUAUAUUCUUGGUAAAAUCAAUUACAUGAACCAACAUUUCAGUUAGUACAUGUAAGCUGUCCUGCUUUGUCUUAAUACACAUACAAGUAAUAUAACUUGCUAAUAUAUGGUAACAAGAAAUAAAAAUACAUGUGAACAAUCAGCCACUAUGGAGGAACUAGGAAUGAUUUAAAGCCGUAGCACAUUACAUAGGUGGAAGCUGACAGCACCAGCAAUGAGGAAGCCCAUAGCUCGCCUCAACCUGCAGACUCUCUGUAAAUGCAAAGAGACCAAUCACAAAUGUAUAUUACUACUUUUUAAAACUGCUUUCAUGUGUAUAUAUGGUAAUAAGAGCGAACAAGACUUAUAAUAUUGGCUUUACGUAGUAGAUGGAUAUAAUGAGUAUAGUUUUGCUGUAUGAAGGUCCAUAUAAUCAUUAUGGAGGAGUUGAAGAGAUAAUAAUCAAAAUUUAGGUAGAAUGUCAACAUAAAAAAGAUCAUGCUCAGUUCCCUAACAAACAUAAGGCGCAUCAAUGGAUGUCAAAUAACUAUAAUCUUUAUCCUAUAACUAAUAAUCCUUACAUGAACCCAGAAUGUACGAGGUUAUCUCCUAAAUUAAAAUUCAACAGAACAGCAGAGUAUAUCAUCUGUAUCUCUUAAGUAAUCUAAAGAUAAUAUAUGUAAAAAUAACUUACAAGUACAUAUAUACUGCCAGGCAAGAGGAGACUACAGAGAAUAUCAGGAGAGUAUAGGAAGAGAUUCAUUACCGGCCCAUACUGCUCCACCUCAACGACGACAGAGAAGAUGGUCAUCCAACCUGACAACAAAUCUCUCAUUCCUGGCACGAUGAGUAGGAGAGUAGAGCUAACAACAAGCUAUCUCUCAGAUUCUCCCGUGGCCUGCCUCACCAGAUCAGAAUCUGCAAGAUGCGACCUAGCCGGUAGGCGGCUCAAGAUCCGCGGCUUGAAAGCCCGUCCCCUCCUUGCUCAGAGCUGGCCUCCGAGAGCAUCUUCUUCAAAGCUUCGGUGCUGGGCAUGCCACUCGAUUUGGUAUACAACCAAGCUUCCAAGACUACCACGAUAGAGCAAGGAAAGGGAGGAUCUACUUUCUCAUUUAGAACAGAGGAUGUAGAGACGUGAAGCAGUUAACCAAUUAGCCUUUUCUUUUGAUGGGAACCAAUUAGCCUUUGUUCCCAAUGAAGUAGACCAACUAGCCCAUUGUGACUUGUGAGAGUGACUCAAGAAAAAUAUUAAAAUAAUUUGUAAAAAAAACUUACAACAAUACUAGGUCGUGGGUCUAUUAGUAGAAAAUUUGAUAUCGUUCUGAUAGAGCAUAUAAUGGACCGAGGGGC
rnacentral:lncRNA from 1 species